rnacentral:misc_RNA from 1 species
AGACUCAAUCCCUCGGGUUUCCGAGGAGAUUGGACUUGGGUGUUGCCGCUUCUGCCGGCUCACCUUAAAAGACUUAGCGGGAUAGCACCGUAGUCGGCGUAAUAAGUUUCGUCGGUGAAGGUUGUGAUGACUGAUUACAAUCGCCCUGGCAAUUUUUGA